AAAAACUCCGGUGGUGUGAGAUGGAUCCGCGUCUGAUUAGCCAGUUGGCGGGGUAACGGCCCACCAAAGCGACGAUCAGUAGCCGGCCUGAGAGGGUGACCGGCCACAUUGGGACUGAGACACGGCCCAAACUCCUACGGGAGGCAGCAGUGGGGAAUAUUGCACAAUGGGCGAAAGCCUGAUGCAGCGACGCCGCGUGAGUGAAGAAGUAUUUCGGUAUGUAGAGCUCUAUCAGCAGGGAAGAAAAUGACGGUACCUGACUAAGAAGCCCCGGCUAACUACGUGCCAGCAGCCGCGGUAAUACGUAGGGGGCAAGCGUUAUCCGGAUUUACUGGGUGUAAAGGGAGCGUAGACGGCGAAGCAAGUCUGAAGUGAAAACCCAGGGCUCAACCCUGGGACUGCUUUGGAAACUGUUUUGCUAGAGUGUCGGAGAGGUAAGUGGAAUUCCUAGUGUAGCGGUGAAAUGCGUAGAUAUUAGGAGGAACACCAGUGGCGAAGGCGGCUUACUGGACGAUAACUGACGUUGAGGCUCGAAAGCGUGGGGAGCAAACAGGAUUAGAUACCCUGGUAGUCCACGCCGUAAAC
rnacentral:rRNA from 1 species